rnacentral:tRNA from 5 species
GGCCCCGUAGUCUAGCGGCCUAGGACGUUGCCCUCUCACGGCAGAAACACGGGUUCAAAUCCCGUCGGGGCUA